GACGAACGCUGGCGGCGUGCCUAACACAUGCAAGUCGAGCGAUGAAAUCCCUUCGGGGAUGGAUUAGCGGCGGACGGGUGAGUAACACGUGGGUAACCUGCCUCAAAGAGGGGGAUAGCCUCCCGAAAGGGAGAUUAAUACCGCAUAACAUUAGUUUUUCACAUGAAGAACUAAUUAAAGGAGUAAUUCGCUUUGAGAUGGACCCGCGGCGCAUUAGCUAGUUGGUGAGGUAACGGCUCACCAAGGCGACGAUGCGUAGCCGACCUGAGAGGGUGAUCGGCCACAUUGGAACUGAGACACGGUCCAGACUCCUACGGGAGGCAGCAGUGGGGAAUAUUGCACAAUGGGCGAAAGCCUGAUGCAGCAACGCCGCGUGAGUGAUGAAGGCCUUCGGGUUGUAAAGCUCUGUCUUUUGGGACGAUAAUGACGGUACCAAAGGAGGAAACCACGGCUAACUACGUGCCAGCCGCCGCCGUAA
rnacentral:rRNA from 1 species